GGCCUACCAACAGUGCUUGCCUGGCAGCGUGGCGUUAAACAAGAGCACAUCUGAAGUGGACAUUAUAUACCUUCACAUAUGGAGUGAAGUUCAAUUUCGUGAACGUUACAAAUGAUAUUUCAUGCAAGGCUUAUGACGGAGAAAACGCUGAACCACAACCAUGCUUAAACUCUGCAACACAUGAAUAUAGCCCAAAACCUACAACGCAAAAUAUCCCAAACCCUACAACACAAAAUAGCCCAAACCCUACAAGACAAAAUAGCCCAAACC